rnacentral:lncRNA from 1 species
CCUAACUCGAUAAACUAAAUGAAGGUUGUAUUAUUUCCAUCACAAUCACGGGCAGACAGUGUGUAGUUACCUUGGUAAUGCCUAGAGCAGGCUGGUAAAGGCGAACGGCCAGGAAGAGCUGUUGUUGGAGUGGGAGGUUGUUUUACUGGAAGCUGUACUUACAGCAACACUGUGGGCCUGAUAAAAAUCGAGCUUGAAAAUGAAUGGAUUCACAGGUUAGCUGUCAAUUCUUCUUCUGUAGUACAGCCCUUAAGAAGCACAUUGAGCUAGAUGAAUAAAAAGCUUGCAGAAUGUUACAUUAACUGCUGCUGGUGACGACUUUUACUGCUUUUUUAAUGAAUUAUGGAGGUCGCAGAAAGCCACAGUGGAAAUGAAAUAAAAUUCCACUGAAUAAUGUACCUGGCAUUGCAGGAAUAAAAUAAAUGUAUUGAAAAGGGUCACAUGUGCUAUCUUUGGCAUUAGAAUACAUCAGAAAAAAAACCUAACCCGAUGAAGCUUUACAGCAUUUUAGAGACGAAAGUUCACAGUUAAUACUAAGCGUGAAAUUAAUGAGGCCACUUGCCAGCUGUGUCAAACUCAGGAGACAAGCUAGGUUAAACGGCGAUACAGUAAAGAGGCAGCAACAACCCAAUGCAACUGCACAGUAAAGCAUCAAGUCUCACAUGUCAGGCAAAACCCCCCAAACAUCACCGAGGACAACUCCACGGCCAUAAACUCCACCUGUGCUCAACACAACAUCCAAUAGUAGAACCAGGAAAACAGGACAUAAUUACAAAUCCAAGUUCAAGGACUGAAAGCAAGCAAAAACAGGGGAGCAUGUGCAUCCUGCAUGACAAGGAGGACCUGUCCCGACUGGAGAUGGUCCAGAGACUGGCCAAGGAUGGCUACCGCUUCCUGCAGAACCACAGCAAGGGCCCAGAGAGGACGAGCGAGCUGUAUUCCUGUGCCCCGAACUGAAGAACAAUGGCAGGAAAAGUUGACGCAAGUGGCCGGACCACCAUGCAUUGUAUGGGUUUCGGGUGGAUUCAAAUUCGUCAGGUCUCUGACCUUUUCUGAAACACAAGGCUAGAUCUCUUUAUUAGUGUU